GUCGUAUCUCAGUGGUAGAGCAUCUGUUUUGCAUGUGGGAGGCACCAGGUUCAAGCCCUGGCAUCUCCA